UCUGGUUGAUCCUGCCAGUAGUCAUAUGCUUGUCUCAAAGAUUAAGCCAUGCAUGUCUAAGUAUAAAUGGUAUACAAUGAAACUGCGAAUGGCUCAUUAAAACAGUUAUAGUUUAUUUGGUAAUCAAACUUACAUGGAUAACCGUGGUAAUUCUAGAGCUAAUACAUGCUGUUGUGCCCGACUCACGAAGGGCCGUAUUUAUUAGAUAUCAGCCAAUAAGCAUCUGCUAUUGUGGUGACUCAUAGUAACUUAAUCGGAUCGCAUGGGCUUGUCCCGCGACAAACCAUUCAAGUUUCUGCCCCAUCAUGCUUUCGAUGGUAGUGUAUUGGACUACCAUGGCUUUCACGGGUAACGGAGGAUUAGGGUUCGAUUCCGGAGAGGGAGCCUGAGAAACGGCUACCACUUCCACGGAAGGCAGCAGGCGCGUAAAUUACCCAAUCCUGAUUCAGGGAGGUAGUGACAAGAAAUAACGGGUCGGGGUUUUGCCCCGGGACUGCAAUGAGACGAAUUUAGACCCCUUAUCGAUCAACAAUUGGAGGGCAAGUCUGGUGCCAGCAGCCGCGGUAAUUCCAGCUCCAAUAGCGUAUAUUAAAGUUGUUGCAGUUAAAAAGCUCGUAGUUGGAUUUCUGGUAGUGGGUUCGAGCGCACAUGCGUGAUGUCUCAUGCCCGUUGCCAUCCUUCUGUUAACCUAUCAGGGCAUUCAUUUGUCAGUUAGGGGCUCAGAUAUUUUACCUUGAGAAAAUUAGAGUGUUUCAGGCAGGCUUGUGCCCGGAUACAUUAGCAUGGAAUAAUGGAAUAGGACUUUAGCCUCUUCUGUUGGUCUGAGGGGUUGAAGUAAUGAUUAAUAGGGAUAGUUGGGGGCAUUAGUACUUAACUGUCAGAGGUGAAAUUCUCGGAUUUGUUAAAGACUAACUUAUGCGAAAGCAUUUGCCAAGGAUGUUUUCAUUAAUCAAGAACGAAAGUUAGGGGAUCAAAGACGAUCAGAUACCGUCCUAGUCUUAACCAUAAACUAUGCCGACUCGGGAUCGGGGGCCAGAGUUAACUGCCUUCGGCACCGUAUGAGAAAUCAAAGUCUUUGGGUUCUGGGGGGAGUAUGGUCGCAAGGCUGAAACUUAAAGGAAUUGACGGAAGGGCACCAC
rnacentral:rRNA from 1 species